rnacentral:lncRNA from 1 species
CGUUUGUUUAUGUAAUAUAUACGUGUUUCUCGUUUCUCGUUUUGUUUAUAUAGAUGAGACCGUUGGUUUUCCCGUUUGAAUGGUUUUACACUAGUAAUUUUGGGGCCCUUUAUAGCUUGUUGUUCGGUGUGAGCCAAGGCUCCGUGUUGAAGGCCGUACUUUAACCUAUAAUGGUUUACUUUUUUAAAUUGUUAUUUGUAUGGAGAGUUGUCUCAUUGGCACUCACACCACAUCUUCCUAUAUCUAUGUAUAACA